rnacentral:rRNA from 1 species
UCGGGAAUAUUGGACAAUGGGCGAAAGCCUGAUCCAGCGACGCCGCGUGAGUGAUGAAGGCCUUCGGGUUGUAAAGCUCUUUUAGUGGGAAAGAUAAUGACGGUACCCACAGAAAAAGCUCCGGCUAACUUCGUGCCAGCAGCCGCGGUAAUACGAAGGGAGCUAGCGUUACUCGGAAUUAUUGGGCGUAAAGCGUGCGCAGGCGGCUUAGUAAGUUAGAUGUGAAAGCCCAGGGCUUAACCUUGGAAUUGCAUUUAAAACUGCUAAGCUAGAGUGUCAGAGGGGAUAGUGGAAUUCCUAGUGUAGAGGUGAAAUUCGUAGAUAUUAGGAGGAACACCGGAGGCGAAAGCGACUAUCUGGCUGAAUACUGACGCUGAUGCACGAAAGCGUGGGGAGCAAA